rnacentral:SRP_RNA from 1 species
UUGCGGGCUAGACCGGGAGGGUAGCAGUCUCCUGCCUCGUCAAUCUGCUUUAGAUGAGGUCGAAGCUUGGAGGGCGGUUUUGUUUGUAAAAGCCGGUCUUGAGUCGGACGUUGAGGUCCUGUCCUGUUGGAUGCUUAUGCCAGGAAUGGGUCAGGCGGGGAACCGAGCAGCCAUAACUUUUAUGGGUCAUGCUUUCAGGGUCGCGGGACUGAGGAAGAUUCAAGAGUCACUGGAUUUUGCGUUCAAAAUCCACCUUCUUGCGUGCCCGCAC